UACGGGGGGAGCAAGCGUUGUUCGGAUUUACUGGGCGUAAAGGGCGCGUAGGCGGCGUGACAAGUCACUUGUGAAAUCUCCGGGCUUAACUCGGAACGGUCAAGUGAUACUGUCGUGCUAGAGUACAGAAGGGGCAACUGGAAUUCUCGGUGUAGCGGUGAAAUGCGUAGAUAUGCGGAGGAACACCUGCGGUGUAGACGGCUUACUGGACCGUAACUGACGCUGAGGCACGAAAGCGUGGGGAGCAAACAGG
rnacentral:rRNA from 1 species